AAAAAGCUGAGUUUGAUGUGAUUUUUUUAAUGAUAGAAAACUAUCUUAUUUGGGGUGCGCUGUAGACUGAAUGUUUGUCUCCCCCACAAAUUCAUACAUUGAAAUCCUAGCCCCCAAUGAAUGUAUUUGGUGGAGACUUUGAGAGGUGAUUAUGUCACAAAGGUGGAGCCCUCAUGAAUAUUAGUGCCCUUAUAAUAAAAUAGACCCACCAGAGCUCCCUCAACUCUUGUGCAAUGUGAAGACAAGGCAGGAACAACCAGAAAGCACCACCUUUAUCAGAAACAUCAACCUUUAUGUUCUUCAUUUAGUUACUGUGGACAGCCUACAUAUGCCAGACCCCGAAGGAACUGAAGAAGAUACAGGGUCUCUCUCUUCCACGGGCGCCUGCCUCGCAGCCAGCCAUGGGCUAUGACAUUAGUAGGUGCUCUACUAGGGCUGUCCUGUGACAAAGUGCCUCACUGUGUCUGACGAGCUGCAGAAAGAAGCAAGACUGAGGAAUUCGGAUCUCAAAGACUGGCUCCCAUAUGUUUGUUACAUAAACAAUUUGAGUGGGACGUGUCAGGUGAAGGAAAAGAGUAUCGCGCAGCUGGAACAACAUAGAAAAGAUAUGCAAGAGAUUAAAAUGCCGAGUGGUUAGGGGAGACAGAAGAGACAGACGAGAGGCCUCCAGGUCCCAAGGAUUAAAUUCCCACCUCCCCUCUGCUUCUGGUUGACUUUGUGGGGGAAACCCAGGAGGAGACAGACACUGUUCAUCGCAUAAGGGGAACCCUGGCUUACACCCUCUUCCGUGCCCCCCUUUUAAACUCACAGUAAUUUUG